rnacentral:rRNA from 1 species
AGAGUUUGAUCAUGGCUCAGAUUGAACGCUGGCGGCAGGCCUAACACAUGCAAGUCGAGCGGAAACGAGUUAUCAGAACCUUCGGGGAACGAUAACGGCGUCGAGCGGCGGACGGGUGAGUAAUGCCUAGGAAAUUGCCCUGAUGUGGGGGAUAACCAUUGGAAACGAUGGCUAAUACCGCAUGAUGCCUACGGGCCAAAGAGGGGGACCUUCGGGCCUCUCGCGUCAGGAUAUGCCUAGGUGGGAUUAGCUAGUUGGUGAGGUAAGGGCUCACCAAGGCGACGAUCCCUAGCUGGUCUGAGAGGAUGAUCAGCCACACUGGAACUGAGACACGGUCCAGACUCCUACGGGAGGCAGCAGUGGGGAAUAUUGCACAAUGGGCGCAAGCCUGAUGCAGCCAUGCCGCGUGUGUGAAGAAGGCCUUCGGGUUGUAAAGCACUUUCAGUCGUGAGGAAGGUAGUGUAGUUAAUAGCUGCAUUAUUUGACGUUAGCGACAGAAGAAGCACCGGCUAACUCCGUGCCAGCAGCCGCGGUAAUACGGAGGGUGCGAGCGUUAAUCGGAAUUACUGGGCGUAAAGCGCAUGCAGGUGGUUUGUUAAGUCAGAUGUGAAAGCCCGGGGCUCAACCUCGGAAUUGCAUUUGAAACUGGCAGACUAGAGUACUGUAGAGGGGGGUAGAAUUUCAGGUGUAGCGGUGAAAUGCGUAGAGAUCUGAAGGAAUACCGGUGGCGAAGGCGGCCCCCUGGACAGAUACUGACACUCAGAUGCGAAAGCGUGGGGAGCAAACAGGAUUAGAUACCCUGGUAGUCCACGCCGUAAACGAUGUCUACUUGGAGGUUGUGGCCUUGAGCCGUGGCUUUCGGAGCUAACGCGUUAAGUAGACCGCCUGGGGAGUACGGUCGCAAGAUUAAAACUCAAAUGAAUUGACGGGGGCCCGCACAAGCGGUGGAGCAUGUGGUUUAAUUCGAUGCAACGCGAAGAACCUUACCUACUCUUGACAUCCAGAGAACUUUCCAGAGAUGGAUUGGUGCCUUCGGGAACUCUGAGACAGGUGCUGCAUGGCUGUCGUCAGCUCGUGUUGUGAAAUGUUGGGUUAAGUCCCGCAACGAGCGCAACCCUUAUCCUUGUUUGCC